UACGUAGGUUGCAAGCGUUAUCCGGAAUUACUGGGCGUAAAGGGCGCGCAGGCGGCCUCUUGAGUCUGAUGUGAAAGCCCCCGGCUCAACCGGGGAGGUACAUUGGAAACUGGGAGGCUUGAGUCUAGGAGAGAAGAGUGGAAUUCCACGUGUAGCGGUGAAAUGCGUAGAGAUGUGGAGGAACACCAGUGGCGAAGGCGACUCUUUGGCCUAUAACUGACGCUGAGGCGCGAAAGCGUGGGGAGCAAACAGG
rnacentral:misc_RNA from 1 species